UCCCCCUUCCUCUCUGAAAUCAAUCAAAAGAUAUUGUUAAGAAUUUGAUAGCAUUGCUUUCCCGGUCCUCCCUGCUUCAUUUCUCAGAGCAACUCCCGGACUGAGCCUUCCUUUACUUUCUGCCACCGGCCGUUCACGCCACAGACUGGGCAGCUGCCAUGUGCCAGGCACUGGACUAGGCACGUAAGAAAUACCAGGGCUCUACCCCUUCUGGGGAUCGAGUUCAGAGAGGGCAACAGACUCGCAAGCGUCACACCAGCGAGGAGCCCCGGUCUCACCAUCGCGACAGCCCUGUGUUCUGGAUGCUUCUGCUGAACCGUGUGGAGCGUCCGCAAGCCUGCGUGAUGUGGAGCAGACCUUUUGACCUGCGUUGGACUUGACACGUGAGUGAAAGGAAGAAAAUGUCAUAGUGUGUGCACAUAUAGAUAUAUGCGUGAAUACCUACAAUAUCAGCCACCACUACAGGGAGAGACAUGAAGCCACAAUGUUCCCGGAGAGCAAAGGCGAGGCCGACAUUGCCAGCUGGUUGCCCUGUCACCAUCCGCUUCCUCUCAUCCCUGGAUAACAGAACCCCAACUUUAUUUGGGGUGCGGAUGCGUCCGGCGCGGAGACGGCUUCCCAGCCCACCUCAAGGGCCAGACUCCGGCCGAGGAGAUGUCAACACAGUGGUGUGUGGAAUGUCAGCGCAGGCCGCUUGACGCACGCUGACUCCCCGGGAAG